UACGACGGGGGCUCGCGUUGCUCGGAAUUCCUGGGCGUAAAGGGCGCGUAGGCGGUUUGGUCAGUCAGGCGUGAAAUUCCUGGGCUCAACCUGGGGACUGCGCUUGAUACGGCUAGACUAGAGGAUGGAAGAGGGUCGUGGAAUUCCCAGUGUAGAGGUGAAAUGCGUAGAUAUUGGGAAGAACACCGGUGGCGAAGGCGGCGACCUGGUCCAUUACUGACGCUGAGGCGCGACAGCGUGGGGAGCAAACAGG
rnacentral:rRNA from 1 species